rfam:Apaloderma vittatum contig31558, whole genome shotgun sequence.
GGCCGGUUAGCUCAGUUGGUUGAGCAUGGCACUGACAACGCCAAGGCCGCGGGUUCGAUCCCUGUUCAGUCCC